rnacentral:misc_RNA from 1 species
AACGCAUAUUGCGCCCUCUGGUAUUCUGGGGGGCAUGCCUGUUUGAGUGUCAUUAACGUGUCAACACAGGCAAGUUUUUCAGGACUUGCUCUGCUGUUUGGAUAUUGAAGGCUUGCUGGCGGUGAACACUUUUCUGUCAGCUCCUUUUAAAUGCAUUAGCAGGAACCUUGCAGGACUGGCUUCAGUUUGAUAAGAUUGAACUGUUGCUAGAAUGCACUUUGGUGUUUCAGCUUCCAAUCGUCCAGCAAAACUGGACUGCCUCGCCUUGAGACAAUUACUAUUGACAACUUGGCCUCAAAUCAGGUAGGAUUACCCGCUGAACUUAA